UACGUAGGGGGCAAGCGUUGUCCGGAAUCAUUGGGCGUAAAGAGCUCGUAGGCGGUUCAGUAAGUCGGGUGUGAAAGCUCCGAGCUCAACUCGGAGAGGCCACUCGAUACUGCUGUGACUAGAAUCCAGUAGGGGAGUGUGGAACUCCUGGUGUAGCGGUGAAAUGCGCAGAUAUCAGGAAGAACACCAGCGGCGAAGGCGGCACUCUGGGCUGGUAUUGACGCUGAGGAGCGAAAGUGUGGGUAGCAAA
rnacentral:rRNA from 1 species